AACUAAGUUUGUUAUUGGUAUGAGCUUUCGUGUGCAUGUACACUUCUUCGGAUACAGAAGUGUGCAUGCACAUGAAAACUCAUACCAAUAACAAACUUAGUUGG